GCAGUCGAACGCAUCCCGUUAAAUGAAGUGCUUGCACGGAUUUUAACAUUGGAUGAGUGGCGAACUGGUGAGUAACACGUGGGUAACCUGCCCAGAAGCAGGGGAUAACACUUGGAAACAGGUGCUAAUACCGUAUAACAACAAAAACCGCAUGGUUUUUGUUUGAAAGGUGGUUUCGGCUAUCACUUCUGGAUGGACCCGCGGCGUAUUAGCUAGUUGGUGGAGUAAUGGUUCACCAAGGCAAUGAUACGUAGCCGACCUGAGAGGGUAAUCGGCCACAUUGGGACUGAGACACGGCCCAAACUCCUACGGGAGGCAGCAGUAGGGAAUCUUCCACAAUGGACGAAAGUCUGAUGGAGCAACGCCGCGUGAGUGAAGAAGGUUUUCGGAUCGUAAAACUCUGUUGUUGAAGAAGAACACGUUUGAGAGUAACUGUUCAGACGUUGACGGUAUUCAACCAGAAAGCCACGGCUAACUACGUGCCAGCAGCCGCGGUAAUACGUAGGUGGCAAGCGUUAUCCGGAUUUAUUGGGCGUAAAGCGAGCGCAGGCGGUUACUUAAGUCUGAUGUGAAAGCCUUCGGCUUAACCGGAGAAGUGCAUCGGAAACUGGGUAACUUGAGUGCAGAAGAGGACAGUGGAACUCCAUGUGUAGCGGUGAAAUGCGUAGAUAUAUGGAAGAACACCAGUGGCGAAGGCGGCUGUCUGGUCUGUAACUGACGCUGAGGCUCGAAAGCAUGGGUAGCGAACAGGAUUAGAUACCCUGGUAGUCCAUGCCGUAAACGAUGAAUGCUAGGUGUUGGAGGGUUUCCGCCCUUCAGUGCCGCAGCUAACGCAUUAAGCAUUCCGCCUGGGGAGUACGACCGCAAGGUUGAAACUCAAAGGAAUUGACGGGGGCCCGCACAAGCGGUGGAGCAUGUGGUUUAAUUCGAAGCUACGCGAAGAACCUUACCAGGUCUUGACAUACUGUGCUAACCUAGAGAUUAGGCGUUCCCUUCG
rnacentral:rRNA from 2 species